rnacentral:rRNA from 1 species
UGGGGAAUCUUGCACAAUGGGGGCAACCCUGAUGCAGCGACGCCGCGUGAGCGAUGAAGCCCUUCGGGGCGUAAAGCUCUUUCGACCGGGACGAUAAUGACGGUACCGGGAGAAGAAGCUGCGGCUAACUACGUGCCAGCAGCCGUGGUAAUACGUAGGCAGCAAGCGUUGUUCGGAGUUACUGGGCGUAAAGAGUGCGUAGGCGGUUUUCUAAGUUCGGUGUGGAAUCUCCCGGCUUAACUGGGAGGGUGCGCCGAAGACUGGGAAGCUGGAGUGUGGGAAAGGCAGGCGGAAUUCCUGGUGUAGCGGUGAAAUGCGUAGAUAUCAGGAGGAACACCGGCGGUGUAGACGGCUUGCUAGACCAUAACUGACGCUGAGGCACGAAAGCGUGGGUAGCAAACA